UCCCUGUUACCAGGGCAGUCUAGCUAGAGAAUUACAACUAACUAAAAGGGUUGCGCUCGUUGAUGGACUUAACCAAACAUCUCACGACACGAGCUGACGACGGCCAUGCAUCACCUGUCACUUGGUUCCUUGCGGCACUCUCUCCUUUCGGAGAAAUUCCAAGGAUGUCAAGCCUGGGUAAGGUUCUUCGCUUACCAUCGAAUUAAACAACACGCUCCACCGCUUGUGCGGGUCCCCGUCAAUUCCUUUAUGUUUUAGUCUUGCGACCGUACUCCACAGGCGGGAUGCUUAACGCGUUAGCUUCGCUACUAGAGGGGUCGAUACCUCUAACAGCUAGCAUCCAUAGUUUACAGCGUGGACUAC
rnacentral:misc_RNA from 1 species